rnacentral:rRNA from 1 species
AAAUUGAAGAGUUUGAUCAUGGCUCAGAUUGAACGCUGGCGGCAGGCCUAACACAUGCAAGUCGAACGGUAACAGGAAGCAGCUUGCUGCUUUGCUGACGAGUGGCGGACGGGUGAGUAAUGUCUGGGAAACUGCCCGAUGGAGGGGGAUAACUACUGGAAACGGUAGCUAAUACCGCAUAACGUCGCAAGACCAAAGAGGGGGACCUUAGGGCCUCUUGCCAUCGGAUGUGCCCAGAUGGGAUUAGCUAGUAGGUGGGGUAACGGCUCACCUAGGCGACGAUCCCUAGCUGGUCUGAGAGGAUGACCAGCCACACUGGAACUGAGACACGGUCCAGACUCCUACGGGAGGCAGCAGUGGGGAAUAUUGCACAAUGGGCGCAAGCCUGAUGCAGCCAUGCCGCGUGUAUGAAGAAGGCCUUCGGGUUGUAAAGUACUUUCAGCGGGGAGGAAGGGAGUAAAGUUAAUACCUUUGCUCAUUGACGUUACCCGCAGAAGAAGCACCGGCUAACUCCGUGCCAGCAGCCGCGGUAAUACGGAGGGUGCAAGCGUUAAUCGGAAUUACUGGGCGUAAAGCGCACGCAGGCGGUUUGUUAAGUCAGAUGUGAAAUCCCCGGGCUCAACCUGGGAACUGCAUCUGAUACUGGCAAGCUUGAGUCUCGUAGAGGGGGGUAGAAUUCCAGGUGUAGCGGUGAAAUGCGUAGAGAUCUGGAGGAAUACCGGUGGCGAAGGCGGCCCCCUGGACGAAGACUGACGCUCAGGUGCGAAAGCGUGGGGAGCAAACAGGAUUAGAUACCCUGGUAGUCCACGCCGUAAACGAUGUCGACUUGGAGGUUGUGCCCUUGAGGCGUGGCUUCCGGAGCUAACGCGUUAAGUCGACCGCCUGGGGAGUACGGCCGCAAGGUUAAAACUCAAAUGAAUUGACGGGGGCCCGCACAAGCGGUGGAGCAUGUGGUUUAAUUCGAUGCAACGCGAAGAACCUUACCUGGUCUUGACAUCCACGGAAGUUUUCAGAGAUGAGAAUGUGCCUUCGGGAACCGUGAGACAGGUGCUGCAUGGCUGUCGUCAGCUCGUGUUGUGAAAUGUUGGGUUAAGUCCCGCAACGAGCGCAACCCUUAUCCUUUGUUGCCAGCGGUCCGGCCGGGAACUCAAAGGAGACUGCCAGUGAUAAACUGGAGGAAGGUGGGGAUGACGUCAAGUCAUCAUGGCCCUUACGACCAGGGCUACACACGUGCUACAAUGGCGCAUACAAAGAGAAGCGAUCUCGCGAGAGCAAGCGGACCUCAUAAAGUGCGUCGUAGUCCGGAUUGGAGUCUGCAACUCGACUCCAUGAAGUCGGAAUCGCUAGUAAUCGUGGAUCAGAAUGCCACGGUGAAUACGUUCCCGGGCCUUGUACACACCGCCCGUCACACCAUGGGAGUGGGUUGCAAAAGAAGUAGGUAGCUUAACCUUCGGGAGGGCGCUUACCACUUUGUGAUUCAUGACUGGGGUGAAGUCGUAACAAGGUAACCGUAGGGGAACCUGCGGUUGGAUCACCUCCUUA